AGGCGCGUGCCUAUACAUGCAAGUCGAACGAACUCUGGGUAUUGAUUGGUGCUUGCAUCAUGAUUUACAUUUGAGUGAGUGGCGAACUGGUGAGUAACACGUGGGAAACCUGCCCAGAAGCGGGGGAUAACACCUGGAAACAGAUGCUAAUACCGCAUAACAACUUGGACCGCAUGGUCCGAGUUUGAAAGAUGGCUUGGGCUAUCACUUUUGGAUGGUCCCGCGGCGUAUUAGCUAGAUGGUGGGGUAACGGCUCACCAUGGCAAUGAUACGUAGCCGACCUGAGAGGGUAAUCGGCCACAUUGGGACUGAGACACGGCCCAAACUCCUACGGGAGGCAGCAGUAGGGAAUCUUCCACAAUGGACGAAAGUCUGAUGGAGCAACGCCGCGUGAGUGAAGAAGGGUUUCGGCUCGUAAAACUCUGUUGUUAAAGAAGAACAUAUCUGAGAGUAACUGUUCAGGUAUUGACGGUAUUUAACCAGAAAGCCACGGCUAACUACGUGCCAGCAGCCGCGGUAAUACGUAGGUGGCAAGCGUUGUCCGGAUUUAUUGGGCGUAAAGCGAGCGCAGGCGGUUUUUUAAGUCUGAUGUGAAAGCCUUCGGCUCAACCGAAGAAGUGCAUCGGAAACUGGGAAACUUGAGUGCAGAAGAGGACAGUGGAACUCCAUGUGUAGCGGUGAAAUGCGUAGAUAUAUGGAAGAACACCAGUGGCGAAGGCGGCUGUCUGGUCUGUAACUGACGCUGAGGCUCGAAAGUAUGGGUAGCAAACAGGAUUAGAUACCCUGGUAGUCCAUACCGUAAACGAUGAAUGCUAAGUGUUGGAGGGUUUCCGCCCUUCAGUGCUGCAGCUAACGCAUUAAGCAUUCCGCCUGGGGAGUACGGCCGCAAGGCUGAAACUCAAAGGAAUUGACGGGGGCCCGCACAAGCGGUGGAGCAUGUGGUUUAAUUCGAAGCUACGCGAAGAACCUUACCAGGUCUUGACAUACUAUGCAAAUCUAAGAGAUUAGACGUUCCCUUCGGGGACAUGGAUACAGGUGGUGCAUGGUUGUCGUCAGCUCGUGUCGUGAGAUGUUGGGUUAAGUCCCGCAACGAGCGCAACCCUUAUUAUCAGUUGCCAGCAUUAAGUUGGGCACUCUGGUGAGACUGCCGGUGACAAACCGGAGGAAGGUGGGGAUGACGUCAAAUCAUCAUGCCCCUUAUGACCUGGGCUACACACGUGCUACAAUGGAUGGUACAACGAGUUGCGAACUCGCGAGAGUAAGCUAAUCUCUUAAAGCCAUUCUCAGUUCGGAUUGUAGGCUGCAACUCGCCUACAUGAAGUCGGAAUCGCUAGUAAUCGCGGAUUCAGCAGCC
rnacentral:rRNA from 1 species